GUAGCUCGCUGGGCUCAUAACCCAGAGGUCGCAGGUUCAAAUCCUGUC
rfam:Streptomyces sp. 150FB scaffold00001, whole genome shotgun sequence.